GGCUGUGGCUCAGUGGUAGAGUGCUCUUCUAGCACACGUGAGGCAUUGGGUUCAAACCUCAGCACCA
rnacentral:tRNA from 1 species